GGCUGAGUAAUGCAUAGGAACGUACCCCAAACUGAGGGAUAAGCCACCGAAAGGUGGUCUGAUACCGCAUGUGCUCUUCGGAGUAAAGCUACGGCGGUUUGGGAGCGGCCUAUGUUCGAUUAGCUUGUUGGUGAGGUAAAGGCUCACCAAGGCGACGAUCGAUAGCGGGUCUGAGAGGAUGAUCCGCCAGACUGGAACUGAGACACGGUCCAGACUCCUACGGGAGGCAGCAGUAGGGAAUUUUCCACAAUGGGGGCAACCCUGAUGGAGCAACGCCGCGUGCAGGAUGAAGGCCCUCGGGUCGUAAACUGCUUUUCUCUGUGAUGAUUAUGACAGUAGCAGAGGAAUAAGGAUCGGCUAACUCCGUGCCAGCAGCCGCGGUCAUACGGAGGAUCCAAGCGUUAUCCGGAAUUACUGGGCGUAAAGAGUUGCGUAGGCGGUCUUGUAAGCAGGGCAUGAAAUAGUGUGGCUCAACCAUACUGCUAUGUUCUGAACUGCAAGACUAGAGGAUGAGAGAGGUUAUUGGGAAUUCCCAGUGUAGGAGUGAAAUCCGUAGAUAUUGGGAGGAACACCGAUGGCGUAGGCAGAUAACUGGCUCAUUCCUGACGCUCAGGCACGAAUGCGUGGGUAGCAAACGGGAUUAGAUACCCCGGUAGUCCACGCCGUAAACUAUGGAUGCUAGCUGUACACCGUAUCGACCCGGUGUGUAGCGAAGCUAACGCGUUAAGCAUCCCGCCUGUGGAGUACGAGCGCAAGCUUAAAACAUAAAGGAAUUGACGGGGACCCGCACAAGCGGUGGAGCGUGUUGUUUAAUUCGAUGGUAAACGAAGAACCUUACCAAGGCUUGAAAUCCUGAGAAGUUCUGCGAAAGCAGAGUGUGCCUUUUGGAACUCAGUGACAGGUGUUGCAUGGCCGUCGUCAGCUCGUGUCGUGAGAUGUUGGGUUAAGUCCCGCAACGAGCGCAACCCCUAUGUUUAGUUGAAUUUUUCUAGACAGACUGCCCUGGUAACAGGGAGGAAGGAGGGGAUGAUGUCAGGUCAGUAUUACCCUUACGCCUUGGGCUACAAACACGCUACAAUGGCCAGUACAAAGGGUCGCCAAGGCGCGAGCCGGAGCUAAUCCCAUCAAAACUGGUCUCAGUUCGGAUUGCAGGCUGAAACUCGCCUGCAUGAAGCUGGAAUCGCUAGUAAUCGCAGAUCAGAAUGCUGCGGUGAAU
rnacentral:rRNA from 1 species